rnacentral:lncRNA from 1 species
AUGAUUGAUCUAAUGCAAUUGCUGCAAUUAUCUAACUUAUUAAGAGUUAGUGAGUUGUUGGAGGAUUAAUUAGCAAUUGGAUUGCUAAUUGGAUUGAUUAAGCAAUGAAGCGUGGAUCAAGUCUAAUUGAAUUGGAUUCAAUUUGACUUGAUUUAGAUUUGAUUUAGAUCAAGCCUAAUUGGAUUAUAAGAUAAUCUAAUUACAGGAGAGACCAAAUUCUUAUUUGAUAUGAAUUUGGGUGUCAUCCUAAUUAGAUUAGGAUUUAAUCAAGAAAAAUUAGGUUCCUAAUCGGAUUAGAAUUUCAAUCUCUUUUGGGUUCAAUCAACUCCUAAUUAGAUUAAGAUUUGAUCUGAUUAAACUAAGCACAAAGAAAAAUCCCAAUUGAAUUAGGAUUCUCCCUCUUUCUUGUGCCACAUCAAAGCCCCACAUCCCAACUUGAUUUGUGCCAAUAUUCCAUGCUAAAAACUCUUUCACGCCCUCUUGAGUUUGCAUGAAAUAUUCACACCCCAAGAUGGAAACUCAUCAUGCCAAGAAAAUAGGGAGGCUCUUGGAUGCCCCCCAAACUCUUUUUUUAACCCUAAUCCAAUGCCUAUAAAAGAGGAGGCCUCUUGGGCUUGGAAAAUAAGGGUGGUUUUCAAUGUGAGAAAAGAAAAAAAUUCAAAAGGAAAGGCUCCUUCUUGGUGUGAGAAAAGAAGAGGAAGAAAGUCUUCCUCGUAGGCAUGAGAAAGGAAGAAGAGUCUUCCUUGUGUGCAUAGAUUUGAGAGAGGAAAAGUUCUUCUUUGGAGGCAUGGAAAAAGUAGAGAAAAAGUUUCUCUUGUGCAUGGAAGAAAGAAAAAGAAAGUUCUUCGUAGGCAUGAAAGAAAGAAGAGUUCUUUCUUAGUCUUCUAGAUCUCUAGCAUAGAGAUCUUAUGCGUAGAUUACAGAAAGAAAAGAAGAGAGUCUUCUUAUUUUUUUUCUUUUUUUUUUCUUCUUCUCUAAGAGAGUCUUGAGAGAUAAAGAAGAGUCUUCAUCAACCAUCAAGAGGCGUCUUCUGCAAGAAAACUAGCAUCCCGAUGAAAACACAGACCUCCGAUUGGAUUUGAAGAUCUCGGAGUAUACCAUGAUCAUCAGCUGCGAUGUUCAUCAAUCCGCGUAAAGAUAUGAAGAUCAGAUCUCCAAUUUGAUUUAUUUUCUUCAUCAAAUUUUAGAUUGAAUGCUUUCAUAUUCAUAUAAUAGGUCUUAGGUGGUUAGCAAAUUAAAUCUGA